GGGGAUUUAGCUCAGUGGUAGAGCGCUUGCCUAGCAAGCACAAGACCCUGGGUUCGGUCCCCAGUUCCG
rnacentral:tRNA from 1 species